UGAUGCACCCACGAGUUCCUCCUCUGCAGCCUCUACUGCUUCUAUCAGACUCUCUUUUCCAAGUUGAAUAUCGGAAUCAUCAACUGCUACUUGUCCUUCAGCAUCAUCCCUUUCCAACUCGACGCUUUCGUUUCCUGGUUGACUCUCGGAAGCAUCAACUGCUGCUUCCUCUGUCGAAUCAGUUUGCAUCCCGACGGUUUCACUUCCAUGUUUCCCCAU
rnacentral:lncRNA from 1 species